rnacentral:rRNA from 1 species
AACGCUAGCUACAGGCUUAACACAUGCAAGUCGAGGGGCAUCAGGGUAGCAAUACCGCUGGCGACCGGCGCACGGGUGAGUAACACGUAUCCAACCUACCGUUAACUCGGGGAUAGCCUUUCGAAAGAAAGAUUAAUACCCGAUAGUAUAUUUUCUUCGCAUGUCGAAAAUAUUAAAGAAUUUCGGUUAUCGAUGGGGAUGCGUUCCAUUAGGCAGUUGGCGGGGUAACGGCCCACCAAACCUACGAUGGAUAGGGGUUCUGAGAGGAAGGUCCCCCACAUUGGAACUGAGACACGGUCCAAACUCCUACGGGAGGCAGCAGUGAGGAAUAUUGGUCAAUGGACGAAGGUCUGAACCAGCCAAGUAGCGUGAAGGAUGACUGCCCUAUGGGUUGUAAACUUCUUUUAUAUGGGAAUAAAGUUCUCCACGUGUGGAGUUUUGUAUGUACCAUUAUGAAUAAGCAUCGGCUAACUCCGUGCCAGCAGCCGCGGUAAUACGGAGGAUGCGAGCGUUAUCCGGAUUUAUUGGGUUUAAAGGGAGCGUAGGUGGACUGGUAAGUCAGUUGUGAAAGUUUGCGGCUCAACCGUAAAAUUGCAGUUGAUACUGUCAGUCUUGAGUACAGUAGAGGUGGGCGGAAUUCGUGGUGUAGCGGUGAAAUGCUUAGAUAUCACGAAGAACUCCGAUUG